rnacentral:rRNA from 1 species
CAUAGAGGGUGAGAAUCCCGUAUUUGACCAUUAUUUUCAGCUGUGUGAUACACUUUCAAAGAGUCGGAUUGUUUGGGAAUGCAGUCCAAAAUGGGUGGUAAAUUUCAUCUAAAGCUAAAUAUUGGCGAGAGACCGAUAGCGAACAAGUACCGUGAGGGAAAGAUGAAAAGAACUUUGAAAAGAGAGUUAAACAGUACGUGAAAUUGUCAAAAGGGAAGCGUUUGACACCAGUGUUGUUUUCUCGAAAAUCAAUUAAAAAAAGUUGGAUUUUGUGUUUGUAUGACCUUAACAGCUUCUUUCACUUUUUUCCUGCCUUUUUUAAUGCACUUUUCGUUUAACAAGUCAACAUCAGUUUCUUUUGUUGUAAAAAGGUCAUUGGAAGGUGGCUUUCUUUUCGGAGAAAGUGUUUAUAGCCUUUGACUCCUGCAAUCGGAGAGACUGAGGUCUGCAGCGUAGAUCCUUCGGGGUUAGAUACAUUUGUGCUAAGUUAUAGCUUUUCAUAGACAACUUGUUGACUAUGUUUAGUCAUGUAGCUUACUCGCUUAUGCUAUUUUACCUACGCUUAGGAUGUUGAA